rnacentral:rRNA from 1 species
UACAGAGGGUGCAAGCGUUGUUCGGAAUUAUUGGGCGUAAAGGGCGCGUAGGCGGUUCGGCAAGUCUCUAGUGAAAUCUCAGGGCUCAACUCUGAGUCUGCUGGGGGAAACUGCCGGGGCUUGAGUGUGGGAGAGGAGAGUGGAAUUCCCGGUGUAGCGGUGAAAUGCGUAGAUAUCGGGGAGGAACACCUGUGGCGAAAGCGGCUCUCUGGACCACAACUGACGCUGAGGCGCGAAAAGCUAGGGGAGCAAAC